ensembl:lncRNA LINC01905 long intergenic non-protein coding RNA 1905
GAGAUCGCGCCACGGCACUCCAGCCUGGGCAAGGGAGUGAGACUCCAUCUCAAGAAAAAAAAAAAAAAAGAAAAGUCGAAUAGCCCUGGCAACUGAGUAAAGAUGGGGCACUGUGGAUUUGAAGGGUAACAAUCGAUGAUGGAAUGCUGAUCUUCUUCCUGGUCUCCUUUGUGUACAUCCCAGCCUUCUUGCACAUAGAAACACUACACAGCACUUCAGCUGUAUGUUUGGGGGCCAUUUUAAACAGCAAAAUCAUCAACAGGAAGCAGAAAAUUGUAAAAAUUGUGGCACUAAAUAGACCAUGUAAAGGACACAUGUUUGCAAUAAGAAAGCUGAAACAAGAAGGGGGAGUGUCACCUUAUUUGAUCCAGCUAGAAACUCAGGUGCUGGUAUUCCAGCAACACUCAGGCGGCUGCUCCAGGAGGCUGCAGAGGGGUCCUUUUUAGCCGUCAACAAAACUGGCUAUGGUCACGCCCAUUGGGAAACUCAUUGCUGCCUUCAAGGACUCAGAAGCUGUAGGAAUAUUCAGGCACAGACACCAGACCCAGCUUCAUCUCUAACUUGUGGCAAAGGACAGUACAUCCUGGGAUGGGACCCUAUGCUCCCCUAUGCCAUUUAGACAGAGCCUGGGGAGAGUGACUUCCCAGGGUAUCCAUGUUGGAAUCUCUCAUUUGAUUCUUAUUCAAAUUUAGGUUCUGUCAAUAGAAGAUACUAAAGAAAGAAAGCCAGGAGAAGAAAAGGGACUUCUUUCUUCAAGGUCUAAGCUGUUCUAAUAGCAUUAUUCUGGGAAUGGCAUCUUCCACUCCUCCUAGUACAAAGAACCUGCUUCCUCAUACCCCGUCAAGGAACUGCAGCAUCCAGAAUACAUUCAUACCUAACACCUCAAUAGAUGACAUGUUAUCCAUGGAAUCGAGUUCAAAGCCCUCUGUAACGUGGCUAUAUCCCAUCUACUCUGAGCUGAUGUUCAGCAGGUGAUGGCCACAGUGGCAGAACCUAGGAAGCCAAGAAGAAACCAGAGAAUGGAGACACAUGGCAGCAAUGGCAAGUCAUCAGACCCAGGAUUUCCCAAAGAACACUGGUCCAGGAAGAUGCUCUGUGAAAAAGUGUUCCCUGGUCGGAGAAAUUUGUGAAACACUUUGCAUAAUACUUAAAAGAAUGUAUGGCACAUCAAAGGUAAUAUGCAAUAAAAGAAUUCAUUUUUUUAAAA